AAGGGCAACCGGCGAACGGGUGCGUAACACGUGAGCAAUCUGCCGAUUUCUGGGGGAUAGCCGGCCCAACGGCCGGGUAAUACCGCAUACGCUCAUCGAGGGGAGUCCCUUGGUGAGGAAACCUCCGGGGGAAAUCGAGGAGCUCGCGACCUAUCAGCUAGUUGGCGGGGUAACGGCCCACCAAGGCGGUGACGGGUAGCUGGUCUGAGAGGAUGGCCAGCCACAUUGGGACUGAGAAACGGCCCAGACUCCUACGGGAGGCAGCAGUGGGGAAUCUUGCGCAAUGGCCGAAAGGCUGACGCAGCGACGCCGCGUGUGGGAGGAAGCCCUUCGGGGUGUAAACCACUGUUGCCCGGGGCGAAACUCCUCUUUCGAGAGGACUGACGGUACCGGGUGAGGAAGCACCGGCUAACUCCGUGCCAGCAGCCGCGGUAAUACGGAGGGUGCGAGCGUUGUCCGGAAUCACUGGGCGUAAAGGGCGCGUAGGCGGCGCGAGCAGUCAACGGUGAAAGCCCGGAGCUCAACUCCGGGUCGGCCGUCGAUACUCUCGCGCUAGAGCACUGUAGAGGCAGGUGGAAUUCCGGGUGUAGCGGUGGAAUGCGUAGAGAUCCGGAAGAACACCGGUGGCGAAGGCGGCCUGCUGGGCAGUAGCUGACGCUGAUGCGCGACAGCGUGGGGAGCAAACAGGAUUAGAUACCCUGGUAGUCCACGCCGUA
rnacentral:rRNA from 1 species